GAAAUGCGAUAAGUAGUGUGAAUUGCAGAAUUCAGUGAAUCAUCGAAUCUUUGAACGCACAUUGCGCCCCUUGGUAUUCCAUGGGGCAUGCCUGUUCGAGCGUCAUUUGUACCCUCAAGCUCUGCUUGGUGUUGGGUGUUUGUCCCCGUCUCCGCGCGUGGACUCGCCCCAAAGUGAUUGGCAGCCGGCGUACUGGUCCCGGAGCGCAGCACAUGUCGCGCAAACGAGUGCCUUGUUACGGCGGCGUCCAUAAGCCCCUCUCUCACGCUCUUGACCUCGGAUCAGGUAGGGAUACCCGCUGAACUUAAGC
rnacentral:misc_RNA from 1 species